rnacentral:rRNA from 1 species
GGCGGGACACGUGGUAUCCUGUCUGAAUAUGGGGGGACCAUCCUCCAAGGCUAAAUACUCCUGACUGACCGAUAGUGAACCAGUACCGUGAGGGAAAGGCGAAAAGAACCCCGGCGAGGGGAGUGAAAAAGAACCUGAAACCGUGUACGUACAAGCAGUGGGAGCACCCUUUGGGGUGUGACUGCGUACCUUUUGUAUAAUGGGUCAGCGACUUAUAUUCUGUAGCAAGGUUAACCGAAUAGGGGAGCCGGAGGGAAACCGAGUCUUAAUUGGGCGUUAAGUUGCAGGGUAUAGACCCGAAACCCGGUGAUCUAGCCAUGGGCAGGUUGAAGGUUGGGUAACACUAACUGGAGGACCGAACCGACUAAUGUUGAAAAAUUAGCGGAUGACCUGUGGCUGGGGGUGAAAGGCCAAUCAAACCGGGAGAUAGCUGGUUCUCCCCGAAAGCUAUUUAGGUAGCGCCUCGUGAAUUCAUCUCCGGGGGUAGAGCACUGUUUCGGCUAGGGGGCCAUCCCGGCUUACCAACCCGAUGCAAACUGCGAAUACCGGAGAAUGUUAUCACGGGAGACACACGGCGGGUGCUAACGUCCGUCGUGAAGAGGGAAACAACCCAGACCGCCAGCUAAGGUCCCAAAGUCAUGGUUAAGUGGGAAACGAUGUGGGAAGGCCCAGACAGCCAGGAUGUUGGCUUAGAAGCAGCCAUCAUUUAAAGAAAGCGUAAUAGCUCACUGGUCGAGUCGGCCUGCGCGGAAGAUGUAACGGGGCUAAACCAUGCACCGAAGCUGCGGCAGCGACGCUGAUGCGUUGUUGGGUAGGGGAGCGUUCUGUAAGCCUGUGAAGGUGGCCUGUGAGG